UGCGUAGGUGGUUUCUUAAGUCAGAGGUGAAAGGCUACGGCUCAACCGUAGUAAGCCUUUGAAACUGGGAAACUUGAGUGCAGGAGAGGAGAGUGGAAUUCCUAGUGUAGCGGUGAAAUGCGUAGAUAUUAGGAGGAACACCAGUUGCGAAGGCGGCUCUCUGGACUGUAACUGACACUGAGGUGCGAAAGCGUGGGGAGCAAACA
rnacentral:rRNA from 1 species